AGAGCUGGCCAGACAAUCGCCGCCUGUUUACAGGGGGAGGAAAGUCCGGGCUCCAUAGGGCAGGGUGCCAGGUAACGCCUGGGCGGUGUAAGCCGACGACUAGUGCAGCAGAGAGUAAACCGCCGAUGGCUGCUUGCAGCACAGGUAAGGGUGAAAGGGUGCGGUAAGAGCGCACCGCGCAACUGGUAACAGUUUGUGGCACGGUAAACUCCACCCGGAGCAAGGUCAAAUAGGGGUUCUUUGGCGCGGCCCGCGUUGAACCCGGGUAGACUGCUUGAGGGUCAGGGCAACCUGAUCACUAGAUGAAUGAUUGUCCACGACAGAACCCGGCUUAUCGGCCGGCUCUCCAC
rnacentral:RNase_P_RNA from 17 species